CCUGGGGUCCAGUGGUGGCUCAGGUGGAUGGGAGUCAGAGUUCCCACUCUGACUCCCUCUUGUUCCUCCCGCGCGGUCUGUGUUUUAGCUGGGAGGAGUGACGUGCAGUCACUUCCUCCCAGCAUGUAAUGUAAUCACAGGGGGCCUGGUCGCACUGUUAAAGCACCCAGCACUGACCGGGCCCCCUUACAAUCCACAUCCAUCGGGUGGCCCUGACAGCAUGGACCACCCAAUG